CCUGGAGCUGUAGUUACAGGUGUUGGACCCCCUGGAGCUGUAGUUACAGGUGUUGGACCCCCUGGAGCUGUAGUUACAGGUGUUGGACCCCCUGGAGCUGUAGUUACAGGUGUUGGACCCCCUGGAGCUGUAGUUACAGGUGUUGGACCCCCUGGAGCUGUAGUUACAGGUGUUGGACCCCCUGGAGCUGUAGUUACAGGUGUUGGACCCCCUGGAGCUGUAGUUACAGGUGUUGGACCCCCUGGAGCUGUAGUUACAGGUGUUGGACCCCCUGGAGCUGUAGUUACAGGUGUUGGACCCCCUGGAGCUGUA